UCUAUAGCAGCUCAAUCGUAAUAAAGAACAAUUCGAAUGUUCAUCGAAGUAUUAUGGUAUAGCAGAGAAUAUAUCAUGUGUUUUGAAAACCACUUUAUUUUCAUACUGGGCAUACGACCAUACAGAACCAAGGAAAACAACUACAAAACAAUGUCUCCGGAUAUUAAUAGCAAUGGCCUCUUGUGGUGAAACUAUUGAUUUCAAUGGAGAGAAUUUUGCCUGUAGAUCUGACCCAAUUAAGCAUUUAUGAAGACACAACGUAAUGGAGAUCCAGAGACACUGAGAAGGUCAGAGCAAAUCUGAGAAGAGUCUCAUGAAGCCCAUUGUCCUGAAUGCCCCAAUUCUACCUGUCAAGGGUGCCUGGAAAGAGACACUGAAGAGAAUAGCAAUAAAUAUGAAAACCCUACAGAAGAGAGAACAACUUCAUUGCUAAGAUCUACAUUAUUCUAAUUUUGAUCUAACUACCACAACCUAGAGGGGGGAAAGGCAAUUAAUCUACACAAGAACUCCUCUGAAGGAACUAGAUGAUGUCAAUCCUUUGAGAGGACCGGUGGUGGUUAUUUUUCUUCCCUUUGAUGUCAGCUUGCCUGGGCACCAUGGUGGGGACCCACAGUGCUAUUUACUCUUACUUCACAGGGCAGUCCAACCUGAGUCAUAUGACUGCUGUGUCAGUGAGGUACCCCCAUACGUGGAUAUUUCUUCCCCAUUUAUCUCCUUACUCUUUCCUAUCUACUCUCUCCACACUUCCUGUCAAUUGUGGUCACUGACUCCUUAUUCUCUUCAUUCUGAAAUAAUGUAUGA